AGUCUGCAGAUCUGGUUGGGUGAGACCGGCUAUAUAAAAGGGCGGAUCACAAAGCAGAAGCUUUCUCCGUAGUUCCAGUCUCCCGUCACACUGUUGGGUACCCAAACUUCCAGGUGCUCUUUGGUUGGCUGGGCGCUAGAUGGUUGGAGUUUAGACUGGCCAGUUGGAGUAGCAGCCACAGGAUCUUUACCACCACAGAGCCUGUGGAAGGUGUGGAGGUUCCAACCGUUUUUUUUACGACUGCAUUCCGGACCACUUUUUGCCCUGGAGCAAGUCGGAAACCCUGAAUUUCUUGUCAUUUUUUUUGCCGAGUUCCUCCUUUUUGCCUGAACAAAAGGGUGUAAUCGCAACCAGGUCUCCAGACCAGAGCUGCAUCAACACACCACUGCACAAAGAAACCAACCCCAGAUCCACUAUAGACAUGAUCAUCAGACUGGGCAGACUGACCCCUGGAUACUUCCGCCUCCUACAGAGACAGGUGGCCGGUGAGGUGCAGACCCAGCCACAGGACCGCGCGGUCAACCAGAUAGCCAUGAUGCUGGCCAUCAUGGGCCUGAGCCUGUCCUACUACAGUGCCAAACGGAUGACCGAGAAGGUCCAGAGGCUCCAGAAGAGAGGAGAUCCCCAUACACCCUGAAGAGACCCCCCCCCCCCCCAGUGCGGACCUCAACCUGGAGAGAAGACGAACCAACGCGGAAAUGAGGAGAGGAGACAUGGAGAUGACAGUGUUGGUGUCCAGAACAACACCUUUUCACAACCAAUCAGUCGUAGUCACGUCAUUCAGACACUGGAGUUUUUUUUACUGGGAUCACUCUCAAUGCGAGGAGAAUUCGGGAGCUGCUGCUGUUAAGGGUAUCUUAAUCUUUCACUCCAAUGGCUGUUGGGAGGACCUUGUGGGUGGAUUUUGGGGGGGGAUAUGGGGAGUGUAUGUGGGAAAGGCCCAUGGUGGGUUUCGUGUGGUCCUGAUAAAGUUUGGGAGGUAAAAAGUACAACCAGCUGUCUAUGGUCAGGCUGGGCCCGUGCUUCAGUCGUUGCCAAGGUAAAUGCGUGCAGGAUGCUGUCAAUACUGUUCUGAGCUAAAAAGGGAUAGAGAAAUGCUUAACUAAUUAUUCUAAUGUACUGUGAAUCUUGCCAGUGCUCCAAGUAUAUGACAGUUUGUCUAAAAUAACUGAACAGUAAUAAUUUUUUAAUGGAAGGCUAUCUGCAUUUGAGAUGUAUCUAGUAAUGACUGAAGGCGGGCCCGUAGUGUGGCUGAAAGUGGGGAGAAAGGAACUCUCUUAGGUUUUUGUAAUUCCUUAUUGUUAAAAAAAAUAAAAGUGAGCUAUGUGAACUAGAUGUGGAGGAGUCUCAAACUGGUCAAUAAUUCCACACAUGUUCAAUAUCUGUUAAUGUCAGACACAAACAACUGUACAUUACUGGUGAAAUUAAGUAUUUUAACGUUUUGGGAACUUGCUUAUCCAAAUCUACGAGAGAAAAAAAGGCACUUAAAUCACAACUUUUUCACAAUGUUUCUAGAUUAAAGUCCUGAUAAAAAUGUGUGUCUUUCUUUUAAGAACUCGAUCUGUAAUAGCUACUAGGUGUUACCACAAAUAUUCUAACUUUAGUAAACGUUGCAUGGGUGUGCAGCUUUUAAUCUCUUCGUUAAUACUGUCACGUUAAGUUUUUUAAAGAAUGAUAACCACGAAUGUAUAUUUCUGUGAUGUUUUGUAGAAAUCGAAUAAAGCUGUGACUUGAAAAAUAAGAACCGUGGCAGUUUAGUAAUGAUAUUAAGGUGUUAGGGAAUUUUGGAAAAACCGACGUGAACAAGCAUUUUAUCACUAUUUAGUUUAGGGGAACUUCUUUAAUCAACAUUUUUCUGUGAAAUGAUGAUAUUGCCCCACCAUUUCAGCUCAAUAGCUGCUUGGCUGGAUAUGGCAUAUUAGACUCUGUAGCACCACUUCCUGUAUCGUAGGGUGUCUGGUGUCCGCAGGAGCGUGCCGUCUGCACGCAACAGGAAGUGUUCAGGCCUUCAGACAGCCGUUGUCUUCAUCAUAACUGGGGCAUCUGUAUCUGUCUGUAGUCUCUGUACCAGUCUGCCCUCAAAUCCGUAGCCCCUCCUGCACCAAUUUAACAGUGGUGGCAAAAUCACAGGGCAAUGUUUUAAUCUAUACCGAACAAAAAUAUAAAUGCAAUAAUUUCAACGAUCUUACUGAGUUACAGUUCAUAUAAGGAAAUCGGUUUAUUGAAAAAAAUGUGCCCCUAAUCUAUGGAUUUCACAUGACUGGGCAGGGGUGCAGCCAUGAGUGGGCCUGGGAGAGCAUAGGCCUACCCACUUGGGAGACUGGCUCACCCACUGGCAGCCAGGCCCAGCCAAUCGGAAUGAGUUUUUCAACACAAAGGGCUUUAAUGCAUACAGAAAUACUCCUCAGUUUCAUCAGCUGUCCGAGUGGCUGGUCUCAGACGAUCCCGCAGGUGAAGCCAGAUGUGGAGGUCCUGGGCUGGCGUUGUUAUACAUGGUCUGCGGUUGUGAGGUCGGUUGGAUGUACUGCUCAUUCUCUAAAAUGACGUUGGAGGCAGCUUAUAGUAGAGAAAUGAACAUUAAUUUAUCUGGCAACAACUCUGGUGGACAUUCUUGCAGUCAGCAUGCCAAUUGCACGCUCCCUCAAAACUUGAGACAUCUGUGUGACAAAACUGCACAUUUUAGAGUGGCCUUUUAUUGUCCCCAGCACAAGCUGCACCUGCGUAAUGAUCAUGUUGUUUAAUCAGGUUCUUGAUAUGCCACACCUGUCAGGUGGAUGGAUUAUCUUGGCAAAGGACAAAUGCUCACUAACAGGGAUGUAAACAAAUUUGUCCCCAAAAUUUGAGGUAAAUAUGCUUUCUGUGCAUUUGGAAAACUUCUGGGAUAUUUUAUUUCAGCUCAUGAAACAUGGGGGACCAUCACUUUACAUGCUGUGUUUAUAUUUUUGUUCAGUAUGUUUUGCUUUUACUGUCAGACAGUUUGUUAAUACAGAAAAGCAGUCAAAUCUGAAUUGUUACUAUGUGUUCUCAAAUGGCACUCAUUUUAGAACGUGUGCAGAUUAUAAAUCCUGAGGGUUGGAGGAAGACUCAUGCACCGGUUAAACAUCAGCCAUUCUGAGGCCUCUCCUUGUCUGUUCCAUGUUAUCUCUACAGAAUGUUCUCUUCUAUACCUGGGUAGACUGUAUAGAAGCUAUGCAUCUGAGGUACUUAUAGCAUGACCAUGUUAGGGAGGGUGAGAGGAUAGGGAAGUGGUGACUGUUGAGGACUUCAGAUAAGAGGGA